CUCCCCUAGUGAAGACCAUGCAGACCUCCCUCCUGAGAACUGCUUGAAGUGACGGUUUUCCUGGUGUCAGCUGCACCUAGGUUUAGGUUGGCAGGGUGUUCAAACCACUCACCUGUCCUAAGCCCUUCCCACCUUGUGGUUCCUUUUUUGCUUCAGCCAGUGACGGAAUAGAUUAAUAUUAUUUUCUUGCCACUGUAGUUAUCUACUUUCUGUGGUUUCAAAAACCACAGAGAAGAACCCCUUUAUGGAGAACACUCCCUCUGUACACCACCAUGAUGUUUCUUAAGCAUUGCCCUCAGGCUUGUUUUGAGGUGCUGACAGCACAAAGGUGACUGAGGGUGCUCUUGGGGCAGCCACAGCCCAGAGAGGAAGCACCCACAUGAGGGGAGAGGUGCACCUCAGCCUCCUGAAUAAAGCAGGCUAUUCUUAAAGAGUGAGUAGAAGUUUUCCAGGAACAGGGAUGGAGAGGGCACUCCAGAUAGAGGGCUCAGAGACAUGGAACCAGGGUGCACGCGAGCAACUAGCGGAUUGUGAACGUGGGUCUGAG